AGGCACAGAAGCUGCAGAGCAACACAAAGGAUCCUGCGGGCUUGAACAAGGGGCUCGAACAAAAAGCAGUUACUCCACAGAAGACCAGAGGGGUCCUCCCAGCAUUGUGGCUCUAUGAGGAAACUGAGACCCAGAGAUGGAACUGGGAUUCAAAACAAUGUCUAGUGUGACUCCAGAGCCUUUCCUAACUCCUACUUAAAGCCUCUGAGGAAUGCUGAAAAGAGCACAGGACAUAGAAUCCAGAUUAAAAUGAUGAAAGUCAUCAACCUUAAAAGAAGCAAAAAAGAAGAGAAUUAGCUCCUCUGUGUAAUUUUUUUAAAUAUAGCAUCAAACCAUCUUCCCGUCAGCAACAGGCACUGCAGUAUUGAAGAUCAUCACAUGAGGGCAGAGGGCGUAAAAAAGGAUGGUGUGUUGAGACCAGAAGCAGCAGCAGUCCUCGACAUCAACUACAACUUUCCUUCGCACAGUGCAUACCCUCUGAUAUACUGAACCCAACGCCUAUCCUCCAGCCCCCUAAGAACUAGAGAGGGAGCCUCACAACAUUCCAAUUUAAUCCUUCAGAAAAUUCAUUACUCUUCAAAGUUGUCUGUGGUUUUGUGACAACGAUAUGACUAGGUGCAAAAUGGCUUGCAACUAAUUAACAAACAUAGAAGCAUCCAACAAACAUAUACGUGCACAAUCUGAGGAUUUAGGGAUGAAAUCAGUUAUCCAGGUUAGAUAUCAACAAAAGAGCAGUAAUUAUAAAGUUUCAUGAAGAAAGUGGCUGUUGAGGUGUGGAUUAUGUAAGUAAGACUGACAACAAGAAAUGAUUUUGUUAUAAUCCAGAAGUAAAACUAAAUAAAUGUUCUUUAAAUUGAUGGAUAAAUAAGAAAGAAUUUAUUUACAACAGUAAAUAAAUCCAAUACUUGUUAUAAAUAAGAUAAAGCUGGCUAUAAAUUCACAUUUUCAUGUGAGCGUUUUGAAGUAUGUGGACAUAAAAAACACACACCUCAAGCAUACUUCUCAAUGAUUUCUGAUAAAGAACACACCUUUGUAACCAGCACAUGGUGUAAAACCAGAAACAGAACAUUACCAGAUUCCUAAACAAGCCUUCUUUGUGCCCCUUUUUAGUCACUACCCUCCCCCAUUCAAGGUAACUUCUAUCUUGACUUCUAACACCACACUUUUAGUUUUGCCUAUUGUUAACUUGAUAUAAAUAGAAUGAUACUGUAUAUUUUGUGUGUGUUUGGCUUCUUCUGCUCCAACUUUUGUUGGUAAGGUUUAUACAGAUUAUUAAAUAUAGCUAUAGUUCAUUUAUUUCUAUUACUAUGCAGUAUACUUGGAUUCAGGAAUACACCAUAACUUAAUCAUCCAUUCUAUUGUUGACUGGUUUGGCAAUUUUCUAAACAUACGCAAAUUCUAUGAACCAGCAAUUCUAUCCCGUGUAUGUGUAUAUAUACACACAUGUUAAAUAUAUACACAGAAACAUGCUGUGAAAGUGCUUUGCAAAUGGCAAAAUGUAAAAUGUAAGGAAUGUUACCAAAGAGCUGAAACGCACUGUGUCUUUCUUGCAACACAGAUUCUUGGACAUAUCAGAUAAUAAAUGUA
rnacentral:lncRNA from 1 species